rnacentral:rRNA from 1 species
GAUGAACGCUAGCGGCAGGCUUAAUACAUGCAAGUCGUGGGGCAGCGCAGUGUAGCAAUACAUGGGCGGCGACCGGCAAACGGGUGCGGAACACGUACACAACCUUCCUUCAAAUGGGGAAUAGCCCAGGGAAACUUGGAUUAAUACCCCGUAACAUUAUGAGGUGGCAUCACUUUAUAAUUAUAGCUCCGGCGUUUGGAGAUGGGUGUGCGGCUGAUUAGGUAGUUGGCGGGGUAACGGCCCACCAAGCCUUCGAUCAGUAACUGGUGUGAGAGCACGACCAGUCACACGGGCACUGAGACACGGGCCCGACUCCUACGGGAGGCAGCAGUAAGGAAUAUUGGGCAAUGGACGCAAGUCUGACCCAG